rnacentral:rRNA from 1 species
UACGAAGGGGGCUAGCGUUGCUCGGAAUCACUGGGCGUAAAGCGCACGUAGGCGGCUUUCUAAGUCAGGGGUGAAAUCCUGGAGCUCAACUCCAGAACUGCCUUUGAUACUGGAGAGCUUGAGUCCGGGAGAGGUGAGUGGAACUCCGAGUGUAGAGGUGAAAUUCGUAGAUAUUCGGAAGAACACCAGUGGCGAAGGCGGCUCACUGGCCCGGAACUGACGCUGAGGUGCGAAAGCGUGGGGAGCAAACAGG